rnacentral:tRNA from 1 species
GCCCCAGUAGCUCAGUUGGUUAGAGCGUUGACCCGAUAUGCCAAGGUUUUGGGUUCGAUCCUCAGUCAGGGCA